GUCCCUGUAGCUUAAAGUACUAAAGCAUGGCACUGAAGAUGCCAAGAUGGAUGCCACACGCACUCAGAGACA
rnacentral:tRNA from 1 species